rnacentral:lncRNA from 1 species
CUUCCCAUACUACACAAAAAGCACAAUGCCACGGAGUUCCACCAUUCAAGCACAGUGAGAGAAGACAAGUCCCCUGGAGCUUGUCCAACCUACACAGCUGCUGGAAGGUCCCUCCUGGACGUGCAGAGUUGCAGUACCAGUUCCCGUGAAGUUGUAAGCUACUCCCCAGGACCAAGUGGUGUUAAAUUUAGAAGUCAUCCUAAUCACCUGACUGUCGGUAAGCCCCGAUUUAAGAAUUUCCAAGUCUACCCUUGUCAUCUCUAUCUAUCUAUAUUUAUAGGCGCACCUCACCGCCUGCCCUGGGGUCACUACCGGAACCUCCUGGAGACCUGCCCUGCUAAGGACUUGCUUCCAGCACCGGAGAGAUCGUCACUCGGGAGCGGCGGCGCCCAGCUGGCGCCCACCCCGGGGCACAUUGCAGUAAAUGCCUGGCAGCGACUUCUCGCUUCUCCCUCCACCUACCCCAUCGACCCUCUACUGCCGACCUUUGCGCCAAACUCGGGAGCGCUGCGAGACUUGCGUCCUCGCCAUCCACGCGGGGCCCCACCCCUUCCCGGUUCUAGCCCGCGAUCGGGCCAGAGGCGAGGUUUCGCUCGGCAGAUCCCGGCGAUCUGGUUUGUUCCUCCAGUAACUUUGUUCAGAAGGUUGGAAGGGAGGGGAAACGCCAAGAAGCCCCAGGAGAGGCUGGAAAGCAACGAGAAUAGGGAGGCCCGGCUGGAGAGCAAGUCCCCGAGCGGCCCCGGGGAUGGGCGCGCGGCUGGGAGGCGUCGCCGCCGCUGCUGCCGCCGGGAUGCGCUCUGCUUAGCGGGACUGCCGGGGGCGCCUGAAGGCCACCGCUCCAAGGACACGCGGCCACCCGCUCCUCGCGCUCCCCGGCCCAGACGCCGCCAGUGCCGGAGCCAAGCAGGCGAGCGGAGCUGCGGGGAGCGCGGGCGAAGGGUGGCAGGAGGGAGGGCGCGCGGGAGGCGGCCCCUCCUCGGCGAGCCAUGCGUGCCACGGGCAGCUGAGGAGCCGCCGGGCGCCGCUGCCAAGUCUCCGCUCCGCUUUUGUCUUGCCCUCCAGUGA